rnacentral:rRNA from 1 species
UACAGAGGUCCCAAGCGUUGUUCGGAUUCACUGGGCGUAAAGGGUGCGUAGGUGGUCGGGUAAGUCUGGUGUGAAAUCUCCGAGCCUAACUCGGAAACUGCAUUAGAUACUAUUCGGCUAGAGGGUUGGAGGGGGGACUGGAAUACUUGGUGUAGCAGUGAAAUGCGUAGAUAUCAAGUGGAACACCAGUGGCGAAGGCGAGUCCCUGGACAACUCCUGACACUGAGGCACGAAAGCUAGGGGAGCAAACAGG